rnacentral:rRNA from 1 species
CAAUAGCGUAUAUUUAAGUUGUUGCAGUUAAAAAGCUCGUAGUUGGAUUUCGGAUGGGACUUGCCGGUCCGUCGUUUCGAUGUGCACUGGCCAGUCCUAUCUUGUUGUCGGGGACUAGCUCCUGGGCUUCACUGUCCGGGACUAGGAGCUGACGAGGUUACUUUGAGUAAAUUAGAGUGUUCAAAGCAAGCCUACGCUCUGAAUACAUUAGCAUGGAAUAACACGAUAGGACUCUGGCUUAUCUUGUUGGUCUGUGAGACCAGAGUAAUGAUUAAGAGGGACAGUCGGGGGCAUUCGUAUUUCAUUGUCAGAGGUGAAAUUCUCGGAUUUAUGAAAGACGAACUUCUGCGAAAGCAUUUGUCAAGGAUGUUUUCAUUAA